ACAUGAACAAGAUUUUCUGAAAGACUGCUACGGAGUCUGAGAAAAAAGUGUCAAAGAUUGAGGACAUGAGGAGGAAAGAACUGACAGAGAAGAUGAAGAAAGGUGAUCAGGAAGAGCCAUCAAAGUGUUAUCCUGGAAUUCAAGUGAAGACAGUGUUUCAAAGUGGAAAUGAACAGUGUCCUGUAACCCUCAGAGUGAGACUAGAGUCAGAAUGCAGGCUUUUCUCAUUUGAAAUCUCAAGGUAAGUCCAGGUCCUUACCUCCACCUAAAAGUUCUGCCAUCAAGGGACAUCUGCUCAUUAUAUUCUGUCCACACAUCAAAUGACUUCAAUGUGACUCCUGGAUGUUCUCCAAAGAGCUGAAAGGAAAUAAAUAUUGUUUCUUUAUCACCAAAUGCUUCAACUGCAGAGUGGUUGUGCUACCAAGGCCUGAAACUUUGGAAAAACCUGCAUAACACAAAAUAUUAAAUAUGCCACAGAGAGGAUCCAGAGAGCCCAUCUUCAGUCAGUUAUCUGUAUUUGCAUGUCAACUACAGCAUCAAGAAGCAUAGGCAUGGAUACUAAGGACCCCUCUGUACACCAAGGCCAGUCCAAAGGACAGUGUUUCACUGUGAACUGGAAAUUCACCUCUCUUCUUCAUUUUUUUUCUACCUACUUUAUGCUUUAUCUCUAAGAUGAGGCUGUUUAUGGCCUCAUCCUCAGUUACCUUGUCCCUCAUUACUCCCAGUUAAUGGAGAUUAAGCUUUGUAUCAUGACUUCCUAACUAAAACUGAAAUCACAAGACAUCACAUAAAUAAAGUGACAAAUGGAUUAGA